AUAAGAGCCCACCUCCUACCCUUACUCCCACAUUAUUGUCAACAAUCUAUUUCUUUCUUAUUUCAGUUUUUGCCUUUUUAUGUCACAUCUCAUGCCUUCUUUAGUUUGUUUCUGGUGAUUUUUCAUGGAUUAUAUUUUUAUGGAGGCUUAAAUCAAACAUGAUGUCAACACUUUGAGUUUGUUAUACCUCUGGCAAAAUAUGUGAAGGGUAUGUACGACACCAAAGUAUCUGAUGGCAUGCGCUUUCAGAAGCUAUUUGAAACUAAAGAAUCCAGUGUUCAUUGCUAGGAAUAUGGCCACAAUUACUCACAUAAGUGACUUGGAUGCUAUUAGGUGGACAAAUUCACAUUAGCGUUCUGUGAAGAAAAUGCUGGGAAUGAAUCAAUCCAUAUACACAGCCAUAGAUGUUUCAAAGUCCAUUAAUGGUUUAGAGAUCAAGUAUGUGGAUGUAUCACCAUUGUUGUUUGUCAGCACUGAUCUCUAGAUUAAUGGGAGAUAACUGCCUACAGUACCGGAUUUCAGUCAGAAGAUUCUUGCUGCCGACAGCAUACUCUUUGCUUAACUGGAAUACAUUUACUCAACGACCGGAAACUUUUAUUUACAUAUAUGAUGCAUAUGCUGUUCCAUUACAGCCUUACAUUAAUUUAGUCCAUACUUAUUUGGUAAACAACAAAGUCUAAUGUGGUCUUAAUCCCUAGAACCAUUUCAU